rnacentral:misc_RNA from 1 species
GAUGAAGAACGCAGCGAAAUGCGAUAAGUAGUGUGAAUUGCAGAAUUCAGUGAAUCAUCGAAUCUUUGAACGCACAUUGCGCCCCUUGGUAUCCCGAGGGGCAUGCCUGUUCGAGCGUCAUUUCACCACUCAAGCCUGGCUUGGUGUUGGGCGACGUCCUCUUUGGGGACGCGCCUCGAAACGCUCGGCGGCGUGGCACCGGCUUUAAGCGUAGCAGAAUCUUUCGCUUUGGAAGUCGGGGCCCCGUCUGCCGGAAGACCUGCUCGCAAGGUUGACCUCGGAUCAGGCAGGGAUACCCGCUGAACUUAAGCACAUCAAUAAGCGGAGGA